AAGCUGUUUAGUGACGGCGGACAGCAGCAAACACGUGGUUUUGAUAAAGAGAUAAAUUGCGCCUCAGCUUCAUUAACGGCCUCUUUCUUCCUUGUUGCGGUAAAGGAGGUCGGUCGUGUUUCGGCGGAGAGACGAAAGCCACCACGUGUUUUUAACCCCACAUCCACGAGCCUGGCCUGGAUAUAGUUUAAUAAAAUGAGGUAAUUGGAUCACAGCGCAAACCGAGACCACUGCUGGAUCGUCCCAGUUUGGGAUUUGGUAAAUUAAAAGGUUCAAGUUGAAAAUUAAUUUUUAUUACCUUGUUCACAGAUAUGUCAGUUUAAAACCCA